GAUGAAGAACGCAGCAAAAUGCGAUAAGUAAUGUGAAUUGCAGAAUUCAGUGAAUCAUCGAAUCUUUGAACGCACAUUGCGCCCGCCAGUAUUCUGGCGGGCAUGCCUGUUCGAGCGUCAUUUCAACCCUCAAGCCCUCGGGUUUGGUGUUGGGGAUCGGCGAGCCUUUCUGGCAAGCCGGCCCCGAAAUCUAGUGGCGGUCUCGCUGCAGCCUCCAUUGCGUAGUAGUAAAACCCUCGCAACUGGAACGCGGCGCGGCCAAGCCGUUAAACCCCCAGCUUCUGAAUGUUGACCUCGGAUCAGGUAGGAAUACCCGCUGAACUUAAGCAUAUCAAUAAGCGGAGGA
rnacentral:misc_RNA from 1 species